UACGGAGGGUGCAAGCGUUAAUCGGAAUUACUGGGCGUAAAGCGCACGUAGGUGGUUUGUUAAGCCAGCUGUGAAAUCCCCGGGCUCAACCUGGGCACUGCAGUUGGAACUGGCAAGCUAGAGUAGGGUAGAGGGGUGUGGAAUUCCAGGUGUAGCGGUGAAAUGCGUAGAUAUCUGGAGGAACAUCAGUGGCGAAGGCGACACCCUGGACUCAUACUGACACUGAGGUGCGAAAGCGUGGGGAGCAAACAGGAUUAGAAACCCCCGUAGUCC
rnacentral:rRNA from 1 species